AUUGAACGCUGGCGGCAGGCCUAACACAUGCAAGUCGAGCGGUAGCACAGAGAGCUUGCUCUCGGGUGACGAGCGGCGGACGGGUGAGUAAUGUCUGGGAAACUGCCUGAUGGAGGGGGAUAACUACUGGAAACGGUAGCUAAUACCGCAUAACGUCGCAAGACCAAAGUGGGGGACCUUCGGGCCUCCUGCCAUCCGAUGUGCCCAGAUGGGAUUAGCUAGUAGGUGGGGUAAGGGCUCACCUAGGCGACGAUCCCUAGCUGGUCUGAGAGGAUGACCAGCCACACUGGGACUGAGACACGGUCCAGACUCCUACGGGAGGCAGCAGUGGGGAAUAUUGCACAAUGGGCGCAAGCCUGAUGCAGCCAUGCCGCGUGUGUGAAGAAGGCCUUCGGGUUGUAAAGCACUUUCAGCGGGGAGGAAGGCGAUAAGGUUAAUAACCUUGUCGAUUGACGUUACCCGCAGAAGAAGCACCGGCUAACUCCGUGCCAGCCGCCGCCGUAAGAC
rnacentral:rRNA from 1 species